rnacentral:ncRNA from 1 species
GCCGCAUCAGGGCACACCCGUGCGAAAGCCGGGGUCGCAAAGCUUCCGGUCUAACCGUCCCCCCGAGCGGGACGCACGACAGCGGGGCCGCCGGG